GCGACACUUGCCGCCCGUGCCCUGCGGCCCUGCACGCCCCACCCGCGGUCGCGCGCCGCGCUCCCCGCCGCCUCACCUUUUCGCCUGGCAUCCGGGCCCGCUACUCGCCCACUGGGAGCGCCGUGGCGCCUGGUGUUCGGCGCGAGCCCGGCGGGGCUGCAGGUUCCGCCCUGCUCCGCCGCGCCCCGCCCGGGCUGGGGUAAAGGCCGCGGCCGGGCCAUGCAGUGUCCUCCUCAGGGAGGGCAGGAGAGCCUGAGGAGUGGCGGGGCCGCCAGAGAGCGAAAUGUCAUCAGUGCAGUCACAACAGGAGCAGUUGUCCCAGUCAGAUCCAUCUCCGUCACCAAACUCAUGUAGUUCCUUUGAGCUAAUAGACAUGGAUGCUGGCAGCUUGUAUGAACCAGUUUCUCCCCAUUGGUUUUAUUGUAAGAUAAUAGAUUCUAAGGAGACAUGGAUUCCUUUCAACUCUGAGGAUUCACAGCAGCUGGAAGAGGCAUAUAGCUCUGGAAAAGGUUGUAAUGGGAGAGUUGUUCCUACUGAUGGGGGCAGAUAUGAUGUUCAUUUGGGGGAGAGGAUGCGGUAUGCUGUAUACUGGGAUGAACUGGCAUCGGAAGUGAGACGAUGUACGUGGUUUUACAAGGGGGACAAAGACAAUAAGUAUGUUCCCUACUCGGAGAGCUUCAGCCAAGUUUUAGAGGAAACUUACAUGCUUGCUGUAACUUUGGAUGAAUGGAAAAAGAAACUGGAAUCUCCCAACAGAGAAAUUAUUAUUUUACACAAUCCAAAGCUUAUGGUGCAUUACCAGCCAGUUGCAGGGUCUGAUGAUUGGGGUUCAACACCCACGGAGCAGGGUCGACCAAGAACUGUGAAGAGAGGAGUUGAGAACAUCUCUGUUGACAUUCAUUGUGGAGAACCUUUACAAAUAGAUCACUUGGUUUUUGUAGUCCAUGGGAUUGGACCAGCUUGUGAUCUCCGCUUUCGAAGCAUUGUACAGUGUGUUAAUGAUUUUCGCAGUGUUUCCUUGAACUUGCUACAGACACAUUUUAAGAAAGCCCAAGAAAAUCAGCAGAUUGGGAGGGUAGAAUUUCUUCCAGUCAACUGGCACAGUCCUUUGCAUUCUACUGGUGUGGAUGUAGAUCUGCAGCGAAUAACCCUGCCCAGCAUUAACCGCCUCAGGCACUUCACCAAUGACACAAUUCUGGAUGUCUUCUUCUACAAUAGUCCCACCUACUGUCAGACUAUUGUGGACACAGUUGCUUCUGAAAUGAACCGAAUAUACACACUUUUUCUACAGAGGAACCCUGAUUUCAAAGGGGGUGUAUCCAUUGCUGGUCAUAGUUUAGGUUCGCUUAUAUUGUUUGAUAUCCUAACAAAUCAGAAAGAUUCUUUGGGGGAUAUUGACAGUGAAAAGGAUUCGCUAAAUAUUGUAAUGGAUCAAGGAGAUACACCUACACUAGAGGAAGAUUUGAAGAAACUUCAGCUCUCUGAAUUCUUUGAUAUCUUUGAGAAGGAGAAAGUAGAUAAGGAAGCUCUGGCUUUAUGUACAGACCGAGAUCUUCAGGAAAUAGGAAUUCCUUUAGGACCAAGAAAGAAGAUAUUAAACUAUUUCAGCACCAGAAAAAACUCAAUGGGUAUUAAGAGACCAGCCCCGCAGCCUGCUUCAGGGGCAAACAUCCCCAAAGAAUCUGAGUUCUGCAGUAGCAGUAAUACUAGAAAUGGUGACUAUCUGGAUGUUGGCAUUGGGCAGGUGUCUGUGAAAUACCCCCGGCUCAUCUAUAAACCAGAGAUAUUCUUUGCCUUUGGAUCUCCCAUUGGAAUGUUCCUUACUGUCCGAGGACUAAAAAGAAUUGAUCCCAACUACAGAUUUCCAACGUGCAAAGGUUUCUUCAAUAUUUAUCACCCUUUUGAUCCUGUGGCCUAUAGGAUUGAACCAAUGGUGGUCCCAGGAGUGGAAUUUGAGCCAAUGCUGAUCCCACAUCAUAAAGGCAGGAAGCGGAUGCACUUAGAACUGAGAGAGGGCUUGACCAGGAUGAGUAUGGACCUUAAGAACAACUUGCUAGGUUCGCUGCGGAUGGCCUGGAAGUCUUUUACCAGAGCUCCAUACCCUGCCUUACAAGCUUCAGAAACACCAGAAGAAACUGAAGCAGAACCUGAAUCAACUUCAGAGAAGCCUAGUGAUGUUAACACAGAAGAGACCUCUGUGGCAGUUAAAGAAGAAGUCCUGCCUAUCAAUGUGGGGAUGCUGAAUGGAGGCCAACGCAUUGACUAUGUGCUACAGGAGAAGCCUAUUGAAAGUUUUAAUGAGUAUUUAUUUGCUUUACAAAGCCAUCUAUGCUACUGGGAGUCUGAAGAUACAGUAUUGCUCGUCCUCAAAGAGAUCUACCAAACCCAGGGUAUCUUCCUUGAUCAGCCUUUACAGUAAAAAUGACCCAUCUAUGGCUGCUUAAUGUAUCCAUAAUCCACAAAGCAUAUUUAAAAGGCUCUUGGCACGGGCAGCAUUGGUUGAGCAGGGCAAACAGCAAAUGACACUGCAGCUUCAGGAGGUGCUCAAGAGGACACUGACCGACUGCUGUGGCCGUUGGUGGGAAAUGCUGUUCAGGCAGAAAAGAGCCCAGGUGUCACCUGGAGGACUGAGGUAUGGGGAAGGGAGUAAGCGUUGAAUGACAAAAGAAAAAUCAGAGUGAAGAUAAAGGAGAAAAGAAUGAGAAAGACGUGUGGUGGACACCAUUAACCUCUCUGUUCUGGUGGGUAAGGGCUGAGGCAGAUGCUGGGGUGGUUAGCUGUUGUCACUUACCUCCCUACGAUCAGUUUUAUUGUGUUGGUAAAGACGCCAUUCAGAGCCAGGGCAAGGCUGGCAGCUGCAAAGCAAAGCCAUUAGUUGAAAGGAUCUGUCUAGGAGGAAAGGUAUGGUCAUGGCCUCGUUAUGAGAGCAGCCGUGCUGUUUCUGAGAUGGAUAGAAUCCAACCAGGCCUGGGCACAAAAAUAAUUAGGGUCCUCAGUGAUCACUCUUUUGUAGCCGAGAACUUUUGUACUAGGCCAAAGACAUUUCUGAGGUACAAAUAACCCAGUGCAUUUAGGCACAGGGCUGCCUGCCGUGUAGCCUGCGUAACCAAGUCCCUGCAGUGCUAUUUUCCUCUCCCGCGGGGAUAGAGUUCCUUUAGGAAUGCAGAACUCAGUGGCCUCCACACAGGCUCACCGUGGCUGAAUCCCACAACGACCUCCUAGGUUCCCAGCACGAAGAAACCGGCCCGAAAGGGCUAGCGCUCACCCAGGCAGGCUUGUCUGCUGUCUCUUGUGUCUGCCUUCUUGAGAAAUUUGGCCAGGAAGAUCAGAGACAGUGGAGAGAGAAAUGCAAUAACCUGAAUCAGAAUGUCAGAGGUUAAAAACAAUCCAAAAAAAAGCCACACUCGUGCUCCUACAGGAAAGAGGGAUGUGACACAGCAGGACUCACUGGAGCUAACAUAAGGUCUCUGAGUGCGCGUAACCGGGCGCCAGGCAGCGCCACCAGUGAACAGCAGCGCCCGUGCGGCUCGGGCCCCGGUACCUCAGGCUGAGGCACAGAGCGCCCGGGAAAACGUUGUCUCAGCCCAAAGAGGCUCGGACACCCUCCUCUCUCAAUCAGGAUCUUAAACACUCGAGCCCUAGGAGGCGGAACCCAGCGCACAGCAGCGGAGUGGGCAGUGGGUCCCUACAAAGGCCGUCUCGGGGUGGAAAACGCACAGGUGCCCGCGGGAAGCCGGGUCAUGGGGAGGGAGGAAAGACGAUCUUUCUCCACGCACAAACAUCGGCUUGGUGGGGAAAUACUCCGCCUCCACGUAGGGGUUCCGGUAGAGCCACAUCUCCUCCGGCUGGAUGAGUCUCUGGAACGGGGGGAGCAGCUCCGUCACCCUAGAGGGGAACAAAGAAGCGCAGAGCAGGUCGCCUGGCUUCCUCCCCGCUUCCCCACUGCCCGACCCGCCGCCCCGUGCCGCCCGCCUGCCUGGGAAGCGGGGCCGCCCGGGCCCGGCCGUGGAUCUUUCUUACAGGAAGGCCGCGAACAGCGCGAGCCGCACGCCCACUUCGGCCCCAAAGGCCACCGCCGCCGCCGCCUUCCCCAUCCGGCCGCGAGCUCCGAGCGACGCUGCGCUGACGUGGCCACCUCCGCGGGGAGGGCCGGGCCGGGAACUGGGCACCGCCCCCUCUCCCAGUUGCCCGCGCUCCGGCGGCUCCCCAGGAAGACGGCCUGGCGGCUGUGCCGAGGGCAUCGUCUGGCAAAGGGUACGCAAAGCCAGCGGAGCUGCCCUCUGGUGCGUUCAGCAGGGAGCCAGCGCCCCAGUUCCAGCCGAGUAGGUCGGCGUACGGUCCAUCAUCAGCAGCUCGUCUCCACGGCCCAACCACACCACCGCGGGGAGCAGCCUUCUCCCGGGACCUCGCCUCUAAAUGGAAAACCAAACAGCCCGCUCUCAGAUCCUCGUUCCUUAGCAACACAGCCGCAUUCUGCAGGAAGCUACACUACCUGAGGUUGGCUGGAUUGUGUCAUUUAGUCCUCCCACCCAGGAUGGCCUCCUGCCCAGAGUGUUGUAGCAAAAAAUUAUUGGCAAAGAACAAGCCCACAUAUUUAAUUUGGAACAUACAGGACAAUUUAUUGAAGUCAAUCUCAAGCAAAAUCUGAAAUCAGUGGAAUGUCAUUAAAAACCUUUCCAAAUUAAUCCUCACGGAAGCAAAAAACACAUUGGAAUUCCAAAGUAUUUGUAAAAUAAAAAAGGCAACAUCUCAGUAAAUAUAAUGUACAAAAAUUAUAUGUUCCUACCAGCACACACAUCAGUAAAGAAGCUUAAAUAUUACAGGCAACCCUAAAUACACUAUAACUAGUCAACAAUAAGCUAUCUAUAUACAGGUUAACCAAGCUUUACACGUUUCACACUAUGCAAUAAAACAUAGGCCAAUCAACAAAAUCCUCAAAAUAUUAUAUAUCUUGAAGUCUAUGUGGCAACAUCAAGUCAUUAUACAGUAAUGCCCUAGUGGAACACCCCCAGGGAAAAUUAACACUAAUCCCUUAGUGUCAAGAGCUUCUAGCCAAGUCACAGAAACUCAAAAGAGAUUGACUUUAGUGAAUAUUGAUGCUUUGUUAUUAAAGACUCAAGUCUCAAGUGAUUUAGGCAAAGUAAUGGUUCACAGGAUCUACAAAGUUUAUUACAGAUAAAGUACAGAAAUAACCAAUCUACAAAGAUCAUUAUCAUAAAGAACACGAGAAAAUGAAAACGGAGUCUGUAGGUAUCUGUGUUUGUUGUGCAAUAUCACUCAAAUGGGUACAAAUGAGUUUCUCAUAUCAAUUCCAAAUAUACACAUACCCUUGUAUAUAAAAAAUGAUAUUAGCCAGUUGUAAUACUCAUUUAGCAUCUUGAUUAUUAGUGGCAAUAUAAUUAUCUUAACAUAGGGCAUGUAACAGGACAAAUGAGAUAAAAUAAUGACAACCAAGUAAGUUUUAUCCAGUCCAUUUCUAAACUGACAAGAAUACCUUAUUCAAUACCUUAUAUAGGUCAUCUGACAGAUACUUGAGGGCUGUUUGCACACAUCAAGUGUGUUGGCAGGCAGGGAGGGGAGCAGUAAAAGCUGAGGGUGCUUUCUCACUAACUAGCAGAUGCAGUAAUGCCACAUAAGAAAACUAAGGACUGAAUAAAUGACUUUGGCAUCUAUUCUAUUUUCCCUUUUUACUUACAUGUAAAUUACUUUUACAGCCUACUGAAGGACAGGCAAUUCUCAUCCCCCUCCCGCUUCAUACAUACGUGCCACAAGCACCCAAACUUGUCACUUAUGCAAUGGACUGACCAAAACAAAACAAAAAACAGAAAUGUUUUUUGAAAGACACGGAUUACCCACAUUUUGGGAGUGUAACGUAAGUGCAAUUUUUUGUUUUGUUUUUUUCCCUACAUAGACAUAGUAAAAGGAAAGAAGAUGUGCUUGGGGAGAGGGUUGACAAAAUGACAAAAUAAAGAAUGUACAUAAAAAGUAUUUGUAAAAAUGCUGGUAUCUCAUGCAGGAGUCUCUUCCUCAAAUGUGUUCAAUCAAUCUGAGCUAUCUACUGUGAACACUCUCCCAUUUGCAGAACUUCACCUUUAAUCCACGCUAAAGAGGAUAAGAGACUAGGCUAUUUAUUUUCAAAACAGUUUACAAAACAAUGCUUUCUACUUCAUAAAUGUAAAAAGAAACUAAAAUAAGGAGAAUCUGAAGAGUUUCAAGUACUUAAAAAACCUGAAUUCAAUGAGGCAGAGGUCUCAAUGUUAAAGUGACUAUUUCGUACCUGUGGUAAACAUUAUCCCCCCCCUUACCCUUUACCAGGAGAAAGGGGGUUCCCUUUCUCCUGGUACCCCACCCCAGGUAAAAGUUGGUGAGAUUUCAGUAUAUACACAUUUCCAACUUUUCAGUAUUUGUUAAUUCAUUGCAAAGCUGUCUAAUUAUAGUAUUCCCUAGUCCAUCUGAAAAUGGAAGCAAGUUCUACUUUUUGUUUUACAAAUAACCAGAGACCAAUUCUAGGUGGCCCUAGGCCAAAGGAAAGUGUUUCCAUUCAUCAAUUCAUGUCUGCACCAACUUGGACAACUGGGGGAGGCUGGAUGCAUCAGCCUUGUGAAAAGUAACUUUAGUCUACGCUGCCCAGAAAUAAAGCAACUUUCCAAUGUCCUUUUUCUCAUAUGGAAGUAUAGAAUGUCAGCUUCCCAGCUGUGAGGGCUCCAUAGCCACUGUUUUCUUAUCUUGUUAAGAGGACAUGGCAUGUGGCAGCCAACACCUUGACUUCAAGGUGAAUGCUAAAGGAAGAGCUUUGUAUUUAAAAUGAAAUGAAAGACAAGCAACAAGUCCUGGGCAGUCCAGAGAUUGUAUUCUCUACAGAUGGCCUGUUUGCAAACAGUAGGUCUGGGUUUGACCUAUUGGAAUACACCAUGCAAGAAACUACUCAAAAAGGAAAUUCCACUUCAUGAACCAGGAAAGUUGUCCAAUAGCCUGUCCCAUCUGAGGGUCCUUUACAUGAUUAGAUACUCAAUAUCUCAGUUCCACAACGUUAUUUACAGACAUGUUUUCAAAUAUUUUGUGUAAAUGGCAGAAGGGAGCUGGGAGCAGUCCCCCUGCCUCCAUUACUUUUUUAGCUUUCACAUAUGUUCUUGACUUGUACAGAAAAUCCCAAAUUUUAAAUGAUUCCCCAACUCAGCCAGUUCUAUAGAUGAGGCCAGAUCAUUUUUGAGAAUUAAGAUAAGAGUGGGAACUUGUUAAAACAAAAAUGAAAAUAAAACCCACCUCACUCCUGUAUCUCUCCCUGAUUAGACAUUAAAGAGGUGAAUCACUGCCUCUGGCUGCUUCAGCCUUCCAGGAAUGAAGAGCCAUCCACCUUGCCCUUCUCAGCCAGCCACAGGCAGCUCUUCUGAUUCUUCCCUCGCAGCAGUGGCGGUCCAGCCCCUCCCUCCCCUGCACAGUGCCUGAGAAAGUUUCCCAGGAUUUCAUCUUUAGCUCUUACUGAUCCAGUUUCUGAAGCUUUAGGCUGAUUAUCAAAAAUCUUAUGUUCACUUCUUCCUUCAACAAAUUAACAUGUGGUUAAAAAAAAUACCACCAUUAGCCCAUGCUGCUUUAAGUUAUUUCAUUGUUGGACAAGAAUAAAAACCAGCCACUUACACUCUGACCACAUAUAGAUUUAAAAGUUAACAAAUACCAACUUCAGACUAUGAGUGAGCAAUGUCUUUUGGAAUAUUUCAUUGGUGUAUCACAGGCACAGUGCAUGUAUACUCAUGCACACAUAAAGGACAAUUUUCUCUUUCUGCAUCUAUAAUCUGCAACUUAAAAAUAUAUCAAAUAGGUCAACAUUGACGCUAUGGAGGUGUGAGGAGAACUCCUUGGCACCAGCAUGACUAAAACCGCUUUUUAGACCAUUAAAGAACAUUCAUGGCCAAAGACUUCAGAACUAUGGUUACCUUUUUUUUUUGAGAUGGAGUCUCGCUCUGUCACCCAGGCUGGAGUGCAGUGAUGUGAUCUUGGCUCACUGCAACCUCUGCCUCCUGAGAAACUGGGACUACAGGUAUGUGCCACCAUGCCCGGCUCCUUUUUGUAUUUUUAGCAGAGACAGGGUUUCACCAUGUUGGUCAGGCUGGUCUCAAACUCCUGACCUCAUGAUCUGCCCACCUCGGCCUCCCAAAGUGCUGGGAUUACAGGUGUGAGCCACUGCACCUGGCAGCUAUUUUGUUUUCUACUCUGAUUUCUGAAAUGGUGAAACAAUCCUAUUAAUCAUAAUUUUUUUUUAAUUUCAGCAGAGCUCUGUUACAGAUAUGAAAACAAAAUGUGACACAAUGAAGAAGCUGCAUAAAAAUACUGAAACCUAAGGUAUCUGUAGUAUAUAGGAUGUACCCUGGCUUACCAUAGAAAAGUCUUUAGAUAGUAAAUAGCACUAAGUCUAAAAGCAAGGAGAUAAGAUUUCAUGUUGGAUACUGUUUCAAGAACUGUAUUUGGAAUAUUAAAGGAAAUCCUUAUGUUAGUAAGUUUAAAAAACCAAACAUCAUAUACAAAAUAAAAUUUUAGUAUGAUAAAA